AGUGAACGCUGUCGGUAGGCCUAACACAUGCAAGUCGAACGGCAGCACAGAGGAGCUUGCUCCUUGGGUGGCGAGUGGCGGACGUGUGAGGAAUACAUCGGAAUCUACUCUGUCGUGGGGGAUAACGUAGGGAAACUUACGCUAAUACCGCAUACGACCUACGGGUGAAAGCAGGGGAUCUUCUGACCUUGCGCGAUUGAAUGAGCCGAUGUCGGGUUAGCUAGUUGGAGGGGUAAAGGCCCACCAAGGCGACGAUCAGUAGCUGGUCUGAGAGGAUGAUCAGCCACACUGGAACUGAGACACGGUCCAGACUACUACGGGAGGGAGCAGUGGGGAAUAUUGGACAAUGGGCGCAAGCCUGAUCCAGCCAUACCGCGUGGGUGAAGAAGGCCUUCGGGUUGUAAAGCCCUUUUGUUGGGAAAGAAAUCCAUCUGGUUAAUACCCGGGUGGGAUGACGGUACCCAAAGAAUAAGCACCGGCUAACUUCGUGCCAGCCGCCGCGGUAA
rnacentral:rRNA from 1 species